GAAGGAGGAGACGCCUUGGUGGUGCUGGAGGAAGGCAGUGGCGGCAGCAGGACAAGGCGUGUUGGUGGCGGAGAGGUGACAGAGUACUUGCAGGACCAGCAGGCAGGGGCGGAAGCCGUGCUAGAAGUUACCAGCAGUCAGAGUCCUAGCAAACAGAGCCUUGCCUGCAGGGCAGGCGGGAAGGGGUCCUGUAGCACCCCCACCGGGGUGGGGGUCUGUGUGCAGGGGGCGGGGGAGGGGAGGCCUCCUUCCACAUGGGGGAGGGGCCAGCAAGGAGAGAGGAAGGGGUGCAGAGCUGGGGAGGGGGCUGCCUCUCUGGGCUGUGUGCGCCCGUCUCCGUGGGGUCUCAGCUCCCGGCCACAGGCCCUCCCCUUGCCCUUCAGCUCCGGGACACUGAGGCCCAGUGCCUGCCUUGGGGACCGUCGCUCGCUGGGGCAGCAGAGCAGGCAGUGGGGGCCGCGCUGCUGCUUCCUGUCCGGCCCAGCUUUGGGAUUUGGCUGCCAGCUUUGGUGGAAGUCUCAGCUCCACGUUCCGGCACCCCAGCUGCCUGAGCGGCCACUCAGCCCGCAAGGCCUGGCACUGGCCCAGGCCUGGGGAACUCCGUGUCCCUGGCUGAUAGGGUGGGUGGGACUUCUUGGGAAGAGCCCGGGGGAGGGGGUGGCCCAAGGCUCCGCUCCCCUGGAGAGCUGCGUGGAGCCGUGCCUGGAGGCGUGUGCAGCCAGGACUGUGUCCCGGGCUUCCAACAGCAUGGAGUAUGAGCCCACGCUCCCCCAGCCUUCCCUCCCACGCAGCAACAACCAAACCUUGAACUUGCUCCACCGCUAUCUUUGCCUGUGCUGUUCUCUUUUGCCUGCCCCGAUUUCUAGCCCUCUUAAGCCUGUCGCAGGCCCAGCUCCUGCUCGCCCCAGCCCUCCAGGGUGCCCUUGGCAUUCUGUUCUACCUGCCGCUUCGAGUUUAACAGACAUGCCCCGCCCACCUCUUCAUAUUCUCCCACCUGUCUCUGCCCUCCGAGAGCUUAGAGACCUAGGGGACAGACAGAUGAUGACACCUGCCCCAUCACCCCUGCCAAAUGAGUGA
rnacentral:lncRNA from 1 species